CUCCACUACAGCUCACUGAAGCACUUUAGGCCAAAGGUGGCUUAUUUCCAAUAUUUUAAAUUUUAUAUGGCAAAAUAAGCCACAUUAAGGCCCAGAAUUUUGUAACAGCAAGAUUACCUAACCCCUGCUUAUUUUGCUAAUGGGGAAACCACUAGUUGAUGAAGAGCAAUGACUCCAAAUAUAGGGGUUCCAUUUUCACCAUAUCCAGCUCUGUCCCUUUUCUCUCCCCAGAACCCUUAACUUGAUAAAAUUCUUCCCACUGGCUACUGAACAAGUGGAAAGAGCUUUGUUGACGACCCCAGAAUUGAGUUAAUCUAAGACAUCAUUAGAAUUCUGAAGGUUUCACAUUCUUCCACAAGUAUUUAUUAGUGUGCCCACUGGUGGGCUAAGUCAUACUUAAGCUCUUGAAGAGUUUAAGUAGAUAGAGCGAAUAAAUAACUAGCCAAUUACAAUUUACAGGAAGCAGUACCUUGAAGAGGAUUUGGAGGGAGAGUCAAUUCUUAGUAUAGCAGAGAGAUGGAGCGCAACGAACAGGUUCAUGAGGUCCGGUCAUCUGGGAAAAUGGGGGAAACAGCGAUGAGAUUGGAGCUUGGAAAAGGCUGGCAAAGGUUUGUUUCUCUGAUGAAGUAUUUUCUCCAUACCUUAGAAUCUUGAGCAAUACUCCUGUAGAGAGAUGUCAUUUCCUGCACAUUAACCCUCUGAAGAUAACUAGUUGGUUGUCUGAAUCUUUUUUCUGUCCCUCUAUUAUAUAAAUUUCAUUUCUGCCGCAGGCCCAGCCUGGAGAUGCCUUCAAAUGCCAGAUUCCUGAGCCUCUUGUGCAGUAGGACUGUUUCACCCACCUGAUGAAAAACUCCCAGGAUUGGUUUAGGCUUCUCUGAUACUCCACCCUGCAUGCUGAAAAAAGUGAACAAACUAGAAAGAGGAUUGAUACUGUUAUAAAUGCACAGUCAUUGGGGCACCUGGGUGGCUCACUUGGUUACGUGUCCGACUCUUGAUUUCUGCUCAGGUUGCAAUGGAGUCGUGGGACUGAGCUCCAUGUGAGGCUCCGAGCUCCGUGCAGAGCCUGCUUGAGUUCUCUCGCUCCCCCAUCACUCGUGUUCUCUCUCUCUCGAAUAAAUGAAUAAAUAGAAUCUUUAAAAAAAUUUUUUAAAAGGGGCGCCUGGGUGGCUCAGUCAGUUGGGCGUCUGCCUUUGGCUCAAGUAAGGGUCCCGGAGUCCCGGGAUUGAGCCCCGCAUCGGACUCCCUGCUCAGCGGAGAUCCUGCUCCUCCCCCUGCCCCUCACCCUGCUCAUGCUCUCUCUCUCU
rnacentral:lncRNA from 1 species